rnacentral:rRNA from 1 species
GACGAACGCUGGCGGCGUGCUUAACACAUGCAAGUCGAACGGAAAGGCCCUGCUUUUGUGGGGUGCUCGAGUGGCGAACGGGUGAGUAACACGUGAGUAACCUGCCCUUGACUUUGGGAUAACUUUAGGAAACUGGGGCUAAUACCGGAUAGGAGCUCCUGCUGCAUGGUGGGGGUUGGAAAGUUUCGGCGGUUGGGGAUGGACUCGCGGCUUAUCAGCUUGUUGGUGGGGUAGUGGCUUACCAAGGCUUUGACGGGUAGCCGGCCUGAGAGGGUGACCGGCCACAUUGGGACUGAGAUACGGACCAGACUCCUACGGGAGGCAGCAGUGGGGAAUAUUGCACAAUGGGCGGAAGCCUGAUGCAGCAACGCCGCGUGCGGGAUGACGGCCUUCGGGUUGUAAACCGCUUUCGCCUGUGACGAAGCGUGAGUGACGGUAAUGGGUAAAGAAGCACCGGCUAACUACGUG